rfam:Camelus ferus unplaced genomic scaffold scaffold619, whole genome shotgun sequence.
GAGGGUGUAACUUAGUAGUAGAGUGCGUGCUUAGUAUGCACAAGAUCUUGGGUUCAAUCCCCAGUACCUCCA